rnacentral:rRNA from 1 species
UACGGAGGGGGCUAGCGUUGUUCGGAAUUACUGGGCGUAAAGCGCACGUAGGCGGCUUUGUAAGUUAGAGGUGAAAGCCCGGAGCUCAACUCCGGAGUUGCCUUUAAGACUGCAUCGCUAGAAUUGUGGAGAGGUGAGUGGAAUUCCGAGUGUAGAGGUGAAAUUCGUAGAUAUUCGGAAGAACACCAGUGGCGAAGGCGACUCACUGGACACAUAUUGACGCUGAGGUGCGAAAGCGUGGGGAGCAAACAGG